GGAACGUUUAGGUUCAAACUUGGAUGGCUGCAUGUUUUUCCACUUGUUUGGCUUCAUCUGGCUGUAGAACGUAAUGAUGCUGCAGGAAAUGGUCGACUCAGAUUCCUGCUGUUCUGUGCACACCAAAGUUGAGUCAUACGUAUCAAGGUCAGAUCGCGGCGCUGUCAUCGUUACAUCACAACUAACACAGCUCGCCUACAGGCGCGCGAAACGGCCAGUAUAGCGCAGUCGGGAUAAUGAUUACUUUAAAACUAUUUCAUUUGGAUAAUGACAACGACGCUGUUUUAAAUACCGAUUUGUUAUUAUUCUCGGCUUCGGGGAACAACCUUCACCUCAUUUGCCAAUAAACAGUUAAUUUGAAUAUUGAUUGCCAACUGCCCUUUGAGAUUUUAGCAUGACACGAUUUGUGCGCGUGGUGUGUGUGUUUCUGAAGAGUAAAUAACAAAACCUGGAUGAAAUAAAUAGAAAUAGCGCCAAAUUUGAUAACAAACGGCUAAUUUUAAUAUUGACUGCAAAUUAAGUGUUAUGGUUUGAUAUCACGAUUUCUGCACGUGGUCUUCACAAGACGAACGAAGUUCCAAGCCUGAUAAUAUACAAAUGAAUUUAAGGAAAGCUUUUAUUAUUUCCAUAUUUAUAUUAAUAGCGUCAGUAUAAAUGUUGUGUUAGUACACAUUGUGUAUAUUUAAAAACAAGUUAUUGUUGUAUUUAAAUCUAAAUAUUGUAUUUGUUAA